rnacentral:rRNA from 1 species
AGAAAUAGGUGCUAAUACCGCAUAAGCGCACGGAGUCGCAUGACUUUGUGUGAAAAACUGAGGUGGUAUAUGAUGGACCCGCGUCUGAUUAGCUUGUUGGUGAGGUAACGGCCCACCAAGGCGACGAUCAGUAGCCGGCCUGAGAGGGUGGACGGCCACAUUGGGACUGAGACACGGCCCAAACUCCUACGGGAGGCAGCAGUGGGGAAUAUUGCACAAUGGGGGAAACCCUGAUGCAGCGACGCCGCGUGAGCGAAGAAGUAUUUCGGUAUGUAAAGCUCUAUCAGCAGGGAAGAAAAUGACGGUACCUGACUAAGAAGCCCCGGCUAACUACGUGCCAGCAGCCGCGGUAAUACGUAGGGGGCAAGCGUUAUCGGAUUUACUGGGUGUAAAGGGAGCGUAGACGGCAUGGCAAGUCUGAUGUGAAAGCCCGGGGCUCAACCCCGGGACUGCAUUGGAAACUACCGUACUAGAGUGUCGGAGAGGUAAGUGGAAUUCCUAGUGUAGCGGUGAAAUGCGUAGAUAUUAGGAGGAACACCAGUGGCGAAGGCGGUCUGCUGGACAGCAACUGACGCUGAGGCGCGAAAGCGUGGGGAGCAAACAGGAUUAGAUACCCUGGUAGUCCACGCUGUAAACGAUGAUUACUAGGUGUGGGGGGGGCUGACCCCUUUCCGUGCCGCAGUUAACACAAUAAGUAAUCCACCUGGGGAGUACGACCGCAAGGUUGAAACUCAAAGGAAUUGACGGGGGCCCGCACAAGCGGAGGAACAUGUGGUUUAAUUCGAUGAUACGCGAGGAACCUUACCCGGGAUUGAAAUGUAGAUGACUGAUGGUGAAAACCGUCUUCCCUUCGGGGCUUCUAUGUAGGUGCUGCAUGGUUGUCGUCAGCUCGUGCCGUGAGGUGUCGGCUUAAGUGCCAUAACGAGCGCAACCCACAUCGGUAGUUGCUAACAGUUUUCGCUGAGGACUCUACCGAGACUGCCGUCGUAAGGCGCGAGGAAGGUGUGGAUGACGUCAAAUCAGCACGGCCCUUACAUCCGGGGCGACACACGUGUUACAAUGGGAGGGACAAAGGGCAGCUACCGGGCGACCGGAUGCGAAUCUCUAAACCCUUCCCCAGUUCGGAUCGGAGUCUGCAACUCGACUCCGUGAAGCUGGAUUCGCUAGUAAUCGCGCAUCAGCC